rnacentral:lncRNA from 1 species
UGCUUGUCCCUUUCAGAGCUGUCACACCAUGGGUAGGAACUGCAAAGCUCCUUCUCACACAGACUGAAGAUCAGAGACAUCCUUCCCCACCCCGGACACAGGAUGAAAGAACUUCAUUGGACUUACGGGUUCCAGAGGCAGAGUCCACCAGGGCCCGAGAAGCACAGCAGCAGGCAGCAAAAGCAAGAAGCUGGAAGGUCACAUUCGUAACUGAAAAUCUGAAGCAGAGAGAACAAUCUGGAAAUGGAGUGAGGCUCUGAACUCCCAACGCCCGUCCCCAG